AUACGCCUCGCCGCAGAACAGGGGCCCAGGACUGCUACUUCGGAGCGGGGCGGUCUGCAGCACCCCAAACCCGAAAUCCCUCAUUUAUCAGGCCGCCGGCAGCGGGAGGAGACGCUCCUCGUCCCCUGCCCCACCUAGGAAGCCGCCGGCGCUGGGGUUGCGCGGCCGUGGUGGAAGGAGGGGGAGUCAGUGAGAGAGGGACACCGUGACUGAGCCAGGGGGCACCGACUUCGGCCCCACCACCCCUCGCGGCGAUCGCCGCCGCCGCCGCCGUCGCAGUCGCCGUAGCCGCCCUGGCCGCUUAAGAACCCCGGAACGUGCGUCAGCGCCACCUCACAAUCGCGCCGCCCCCCGCGGUGCGUCCCGGCACGCGCGGGCGCGAGGCCACCGCGUCCCCGUCGCCCCUCCCCGCCCCUCAUUACUAUGCAGACGCAGCCGAGGGCGCGCUCGCGCUCCCGGGAGGGCGGGAGCGAGCGGCGUGUCCCGUUGGGUCUCUCCGCUCCCGGGGAAAUGGACAGGCCGGUUGGGGUGGGGGUCGGCUGGCAAACAGUGGUCGGGAGCAUUGGGCGGGCGCGCGCACGAGGGCAAGCACGCGCGGGAGGGAGGGACGGUUCCUGGGCAACGGCCCCUCCUUGGCGCGGGAUCCGCGCAGAGUCUGCCUGGGUCGCACGCGUCUCCGCCCCUCGCGGUGCCUCCUCCUUCCUGUCACCUCGGUUCCGCCCUGGGUGGGGAGAAGCCCUGCUGCACCACUCGGGCUUCCCAGAGCGGGGCUGGCCCGCGGGGGAAACUGAGGCCCGGGACCCCGACCGGCGCCUGCACUGUGCGACCCGCGUAGAAAUAGGCGCCCGAGGGGCCCCCAGCGCAACGCGGGAGCCCGGCCCAGCCCGGGGGUCCUGUGGUGAACUAGCGUCUGGGCUCUGCCGGCUUGAAGUCCGCUGAGCGCCUCGCCGCGCACCUCUAGACCCCGAGUCCCCGAUCUAGGGCCUCCUUGUAGCCCUAGGUAGCGCCCUCUAAGCUUGUUUCUGUUUUUAGGCGCUGGUAGGAGUGCUGUCACCGACGUCGUAGAGCCGCCGAGGGUGUUUCUGUAGGGUAAACAUGAAGCCUCGGCUAUAUUCCAGGCAUUUUCACUUGGGUAAGAAGGAACAAAGUCCCUGGAACAAACACGCUCCGCGUGGUUAUUUACACACUCGGAUGCGUGGAACGGGUUCCACGGCGAGCUCCCAUAGUAACCCCGGGCCAGCUCCGCUUCAUAAAAGCCUUUCGUGUGCCAUCAGGGCUGCAGCGUGGGACUCCUCCCCACCACAUUCAUUCCGGCGUCCCCGCCCCUUCCCCCCAGGGAGACUCUAAUUUAUUCCUAAGCUUUAUGAAUUUUCAAGGGAGAAAUAGUUCUUACAUCAGGGAAAAAAGGAGGUUCUGACUCAGCAGCAGACUUGUUGAGACUUGCAAAAUGGAAGGGAGAGAGCUUUCCAUGGUAGAGCUCUUUAGAAGCAUUAGAGGAGGAACUAAUCCUGUGUUUCCUUUUGUAUAGAAACAUUUUACAUAAAGUAUUUGAAGGUCUAGAUAAAGAAUAACAGAGUGAUCCAUACUACAUGAUGAGGAGCUGUCCAAACACCAUGCAGAUGCUCCUAGGAUUCUUAAACUAGCCAAAAAUAAUUCCAGGCAUUGUCAGAUAUAGGAUAAGUACAUGAAGACAGGUAAGUCAUCCCAAGACUAUAACGCUGGGGAAUAGAUAACCCUGGAGUACAAGGGGGAAAACUUCUGUCUCAGGAGACUAGAGUUGGGACUCCAGGAACACAGGGGUUCAUUACAGGAGCUUGAACAAAGAGAGGAGUCAAGACCCCAUCUCAUAGAAAUGGAACCAGUUCAGGAGGCACUGCAGUUAAGGUCAACUGGAUGCCUUACUUCCAUGCUGCUGGUUUCUUUCUGUGGCAGAGCCCAUGCCCAUAAAUGUAAUUAACCCCACAGAAUGGGAAAGCUUUGAGUCUUUAGAUGGGAGCUAAUUAGCUCUGGUUUGGAGUUGGAAAAGGAGAAAGUAGAAAUUAAGAUUCAUUCUGACCUUGACCAACUUCAAGGUGCUUUAUUGAUGUGGCACUCAAGAGUAGUACCAUCCUCAAUUACUUCUAGUUCUCCUACUUUUCUAAACCUUCCUUCAUAAUUUCCUCCUUCACUUUCUCCUUACAUAUUCUUUACGUGUGAGAGUUCCUUAGGCUUAUGUUUCUGGUCCUUUUCUAUAUUUCUACCUACUUUUUCUAGAUGAAUUUAUUAUCAUGUUUUCAAACAUCAUCUAAAUGCUAAUGUCUUCCAAAUCCAUCUCUUUAGCCUCAUGGUCAAAAUCAUAUUUCCAACUGCCUGUUUAACAGUUUGACCUGGGUGUCCUUCAGCCACAUCAAUUCAAUGUGUCUAUACCUGCAUUCAACAUCUUCCCCAAAAUCUGCUUCUCCUAUUUUGCUUCUUGUCUUGGCUGACGUCAUCAUCACACAACCAGUUUCUCAAGCUGAAACAUGAGUCAUCCUCUUCCUUCAUCUCUCUCACCCUCCAAAAACAAUUGUCAACCAUGCUCUGUCAAUUAUACUGCAGAAACGUUACUCAAAUGUAAUUCCUUCAUGUAUCUCCGCAUUCCCUUGCCUUUCACAUUCCUGGAACACAAGUGCCCAAUAAGUAUUUGUUGAUUAGUAAUUGCCCAAUGAAUGCUGUAAGAAGAAAAGAUGAAGAAAAGGAGAAAACAAGGUAAGGAAAGGAAGGAGGGAGAUGGAAGGAAGGAAAGAGGUAGAUGUUUCCAAAGCAUGCUUUACAAAGACAUGAGCCAUUUUGUGGAUAACUGUAGCAUUGUUACCUUAUGUUUACUGGAGAAAAAAUAAAAUGAAUAAUCAUAAUAACAAUGACAAAAAAGUUAUUUUCCUUCCCAAUAUUUUUUCCUUGACAAUACCAAACUAAAAGUUUCACUCUGGUUAUUACGAUCUCUAUUCUGGUUAUUAUGCCAUACAAAGAUGAACUCAUUGACAAAGAAAAAUAUCAAGAAUCUUCCCCUGAUGACAAAGUGUAGCCCCGAAACAUAAUAGAAGGUCUGUGUUACCCUUUGUGGCAUCCAGGGGAUUUAUCAUCCCACUCCAAUACCCCCACCUAGGAGAGAACCUGUCAGCCUCUCCAGUAAUUUCUGCCACGAUGCUCACUGGGCCCUUACGUAGACUGACUGACUUCUCUAUUGCUACUUAUCUUGUAUCUUUAAGGCCAUGUGAACUCGAUUGAAUUACAAGUCUUUGUAGGCAGUUGCUAUGCCUUAUAUGUUCUUUAAUUUUCCUAGUUCUUAUUGAUUGAUUUAUGUAUUCAGAAACUCUCUGUUGAGUGCCUGCUCUGUACCAGACACUGUGCAAGGCACUAUGGGUAUAACUGUGAAAAGAACAGAAAAUAUAUCCAUUAUUCUGUACAUCCUCACAGAGGCUGUAAAUAAAUACUGUUGACAUUAGUUAUGAUAAUUCCCAACCCUAAUUAUCUGGGCAG
rnacentral:lncRNA from 1 species